UCCCUGUUACCAGGGCAGUCUAGCCUGAAAAAUACAACAGACUAUAAGGGUUGCGCUCGUUGAUGGACUUAACCAAACAUCUCACGACACGAGCUGACGACGGCCAUGCAUCACCUGUCACUGUGUUCCAAAAGGCACACUUUGCUUUCGCAAUGCUUCACAGGAUGUCAAGCCUGGGUAAGGUUCUUCGCUUACCAUCGAAUUAAACAACACGCUCCACCGCUUGUGCGGGUCCCCGUCAAUUCCUUUAUGUUUUAAGCUUGCGCUCGUACUCCACAGGCGGGGUGCUUAACGCGUUAGCUUCGUUACUAAGAGGGUCGAUACUCCUAACAACUAGCACCCAUCGUUUAGGGCGUGGACUAC
rnacentral:misc_RNA from 1 species